rnacentral:sRNA from 1 species
UACACCGCGGCCAGGACCUCGGCCUCGUA